CCUACGGGAGGCAGUAGUGGGGAAUAUUGCGCAAUGGGCGAAAGCCUGACGCAGCGACGCCGCGUGAGGGAUGAAGGUCUUCGGAUCGUAACCCUCUGUCAGCAGGGAAGAACGGUCACUGUGCUAAUCAGCAGUGAAUUGACGGUACCUGCAAAGGAAGCACCGGCUAACUCCGUGACAGCAGCCGCGGUAAUACGGAGGGUGCGAGCGUUAAUCGGAAUUACUGGCCGUAAAGCGCUCGUAGGCGGUAUGUCAAGUAAAGGGUGAAAUCCCCGCGCUCAACGUGGGAACUGCCUUUGAAACUGGCAAACUGGAGUGUGUGAGAGGAUAGUGGAAUUCCAGGUGUAGGAGUGAAAUCCGUAGAUAUCUGGAGGAACAUCAGUGGCGAAGGCGACUAUCUGGCACAUAACUGACGCUGAGGAGCGAAAGCGUGGGUAGCAAACAGGAUUAGAUACCCGGGUAGUC
rnacentral:rRNA from 1 species